rnacentral:rRNA from 1 species
UACGGAGGGUGCAAGCGUUAUCCGGAUUCACUGGGUUUAAAGGGUGCGUAGGUGGGCUGGUAAGUCCGUGGUGAAAUCUCCAAGCUUAACUUGGAAACUGCCGUGGAUACUAUUAGUCUUGAAUCUCGUGGAGGUAAGCGGAAUAUGUCAUGUAGCGGUGAAAUGCUUAGAUAUGACACAGAACACCGAUUGCGAAGGCAGCUAACUAAGCCAUAACUGACGCUGAUGCACGAAAGCGUGGGGAGCAAACAGG